CUACGGGGCGCACCAGUGGGGAAUAUUGGGCAAUGGGCGCAAGCCUGACCCAGCAACGCCGCGCGAGGGAAGAAGGUUUUCGGAUUGUAAACCUCUGUCCUUGGGGACGAAGAAGUGACGGUACCCAAGGAGGAAGCUCCGGCUAACUACGUGCCAGCAGCCGCGGUAAUACGUAGGGAGCAAGCGUUGUCCGGAAUUACUGGGCGUAAAGGGUGCGUAGGCGGCAUAUUAAGUCAGGUGUGAAAUACCCGGGCUCAACCCGGGGGCUGCAUUUGAAACUGAUAUGCUUGAGUGUGAGAGAGGAAAGUGGAAUUCCUAGUGUAGCGGUGGAAUGCGUAGAUAUUAGGAGGAACACCAGUGGCGAAGGCGACUUUCUGGCUCAUAACUGACGCUGAGGCACGAAAGCGUGGGGAGCAAACAGGAUUAGAUACCCGGGUAGUC
rnacentral:rRNA from 1 species